rnacentral:lncRNA from 1 species
AAUUAUUUCGCAGAAAUAAAUAUAUAAAUAAAAUAAAAAUUAGAAAAAAAAAAGUCAAAAAAUUAUAUAAAAUCAAGCAGAAAAAAUAAGCAACUAUUGCAAAUAAUAUCUAUACAGAUUUAGAAAUAAAUCAUAACAAUAUAAUAUUUUCAACUGUUUAUAUUUCAAUUUUGCCAUCAUAAAUAUAUAUUUCUUCAAAACCUAUAACAAUAUAAUAUAAUUGGGAUAAAAAUUUAUCAAAAUAUAUUAUAGAAAAAUUUAGGGAUAAACCCUAAACCCACUCAAUGCUAGGGUUUCGGAAGUGAUCUAUUUUUAACAUAGCACAAAAUUAGAGCAUUAAUGCUGCCAUGUUAAAUUUGUAAGAUUGUAAUUGGCUUCGUUUGGUUCGGAUAUAAAUAAGAAAUAUCUAUUUUAGAGAUAGAUAUAAAUUUAAGUAUAAGUCUGAAAUAGAUCAAUUUUGCGUUUGGAUGAAAAUUGAAUUGUUCCCGAGAAUAAGAAAAAUAGCGUUUGGAUAGAUAAAAUUAAAUAAGAAGAGCAGUAGGUAAUUAUAAAUAAAAAUUAAUGAUAUUGCCCCUUAUAUUAUAUUUGAAUUUAAAAUUUAAAAUUAUUAUUUAAAUUUUUAAUUUUAAAUAUAUAACUUUUAAAUUUAAAAAUUUUAAAAUUAAAGUUAAAUUUUUAAAUCUAAAAUUCAAAGUUCUAAAUUUUAAAUUUUAAAUUUAAAAUUAAUCAAAAUUUAAAAAUCUAAAAUAUCAAAUAUCAAAUUUUAAAAUUUUAAAAUAUCAAUUUAAAAUUAUAAAAUUUUAAUUUUAAGAUUACGAAUUAUAAAGUUUUAAAGUUUAAAAUUUAAAUUUAAAUUUUCAAAAAUUAAAUAGGGGUGGGAAUAGAUGUU